rnacentral:tRNA from 1 species
AGCGCAGUUGAUAGAGCGCUACAAUGGCAUUGUAGAGGUCAGCAGUUCGACCCCGCUACGCUCCA